AUUGAACGCUGGCGGCAGGCUUAACACAUGCAAGUCGAGCGAGCGGCGGACGGGUGAGUAAUGUCUGGGAAACUGCCUGAUGGGGGGGGAUAACUACUGGAAACGGUAGCUAAUACCGCAUACCAUCAGAUGUGCCCAGAUGGGAUUAGCUAGUAGGUGGGGUAAGGGCUCACCUAGGCGACGACCCCUAGCUGGUCUGAGAGGGUGAACGCCAACACUGGACUUGCGAAACGGCCAGGCUUCCACCGGGAGGCACAAGUGGGGAAUAUUGCACAAUGAGCGCAAGCUUGAUGCAGCCAGGCGCGGUGUGUGAAGAAGGCCUUCGGGUUGUAAAGCACUUUCAGCGAGGAGGCGUUACUCGCAGAAGAAGCACCGGCUAACUCCGUGCCAGCAGCCGCGGUAAUAC
rnacentral:rRNA from 1 species